CAGUCGACCGACAGAUAAGGAGCUUGCUCCUUUGACGUUAGCGGCGGACGGGUGAGUAACACGUGGGUAACCUACCUAUAAGACUGGGAUAACUUCGGGAAACCGGAGCUAAUACCGGAUAACAUUUGGAACCGCAUGGUUCUAAAGUGAAAGAUGGUUUUGCUAUCACUUAUAGAUGGACCCGCGCCGUAUUAGCUAGUUGGUAAGGUAACGGCUUACCAAGGCGACGAUACGUAGCCGACCUGAGAGGGUGAUCGGCCACACUGGAACUGAGACACGGUCCAGACUCCUACGGGAGGCAGCAGUAGGGAAUGUUCCGCAAUGGGCGAAAGCCUGACGGAGCAACGCCGCGUGAGUGAUGAAGGGUUUCGGCUCGUAAAACUCUGUUAUUAGGGAAGAACAAACGUGUAAGUAACUGUGCACGUCUUGACGGUACCUAAUCAGAAAGCCACGGCUAACUACGUGCCAGCAGCCGCGGUAAUACGUAGGUGGCAAGCGUUAUCCGGAAUUAUUGGGCGUAAAGCGCGCGUAGGCGGUUUCUUAAGUCUGAUGUGAAAGCCCACGGCUCAACCGUGGAGGGUCAUUGGAAACUGGGAAACUUGAGUGCAGAAGAGGAAAGUGGAAUUCCAUGUGUAGCGGUGAAAUGCGCAGAGAUAUGGAGGAACACCAGUGGCGAAAGCGACUUUCUGGUCUGUAACUGACGCUGAUGUGCGAAAGCGUGGGGAUCAAACAGAUUAGAUACCCUGGUAGUCCACGCCGUAACGAUGA
rnacentral:rRNA from 1 species